CACCCAGCUUGUUUUUCUGCACCUGAGAUGAUUAAUAUUUAGUUCUUGUGCCAUACUUUGAAUCACUCUUCUGUCUGUUCUUCUUCUUGACCCUGAGAAAUAACACAGUGUACAACAGUGUUUUGUACAAGGCAAUUAUCUCCUCUGUGGCUGCUGAAUUUAAGGACAAGUGUCCAGAAUGACUGGCCACUAUUCUCAGAGAUAAUCUCUUUCUACACACAAAGCUGGCCUGCUCACCCCCCUGGAAGUAGUUAAAAUUACCUUACAUCAGCUGUGACUAUCCAACAACUCUAUCAAAGCAACUAUCAAAGCAACAGUGAGUAACCUGUAUCCUUCACUACUCCAGUCUGA
rnacentral:lncRNA from 1 species